rnacentral:rRNA from 1 species
GUAGCGAAAGCUACGCUAAUACCGCAUACGAUCUAUGGAUGAAAGCGGGGGAUCGCAAGACCUCGCGCGAUUGGAGCGGCCGAUAUCAGAUUAGGUAGUUGGUGAGGUAAAGGCUCACCAAGCCGACGAUCUGUAGCUGGUCUGAGAGGACGACCAGCCACACUGGGACUGAGACACGGCCCACGACUCCUACGGGAGGCAGCAGUGGGGAAUUUUGGACAAUGGGCGCAAGCCCUGAUCCAGCAAUGCCGCGUGCCAGGAUGAAGGCCUUCCGGGUUGUAAACUGCUUUUGUACGGAACGAAACGGUGAGCUCUAAUACAGUUUGCUAAUGACGGUACCGUAAGAAUAAGCACCGGCUAACUACGUG